GUGAACACUUCUCCCUUCGAUUUAAAUACCCAGUCAGUAAGAAUUAGAACUCAUUGCUGAAGGCAUUUACAGUAGAUAUCAUUGCUGAAGAAAUCAGAAGGGGACAGUGAACUUGGUUUAGCCAUGGAUAACAUCGAAGAAAAAUUUGCUAAAAUUCAUCAUUAUUGUCUCAUCACCAGGAAGAUGAAAAAGAACCAGUCAGUAUAAAAAGUGCAGAAUUUUGCAAGUACAAUCUGAAUCGAGGACAAAAUGGAAUACCUUCCCAUCUUCCCAGUUUAACUGGUAGCGGUGCAAAACACAGUUUUAUAUGUAACGUUAUAAGGACGUUUUCAGAUGAAGGGGCAAGCAAAACUGCCCCCUAUAAAAAUAAAUUGUUAAAACAUGUUACAUAUAUAUCUAUAUAUCAAUAGAAAGAUAAAAUCGUGAAUUUUUUUAAUAUUAAAAAAUAAUGCACAUGUAACUUAAUGCUAGAAUUUAUUUGGCACUCAAAACAUGCGGAAAAUAGACAAAAGGAUGCCUCUAAAUGCAGUACACCCAUGCAUUUUAGGCUCCCCCUAAAACAUAAUGCAACUAAAUCAGCCAUUUUUAUUUAUGUACAUUUUCAAGAACAAGUCCUUAGGCAUCAUUUCAUAGUAUUUUCAGGGAACAUUCGCCAGCUUUUUAAAGAGCUAUGUUACCCGCUAAAAAAUUCAUGAAAUUAUGUAUGUGUAAAAUCCGGAUGUUUUUGGAGUUACCGCCCUUUAUUUUAGAGUCUCACAAAAUUAAUUUUUAGAAUUUGUCUACAUACUUUUAUCAUGUAUUCGAAAGAUAAUUCACUAUAUUAUACAACUGAGAGUAUAAAAAUUUGAUUUUCAUGUAUACCGCAUAAAAAUAGCAGGAAAAUUCCUACCCAUCAUGCUUUUCCCCAGAGAAAAACCCCCAGGAUUUUAUACGAAACUGUG